rnacentral:rRNA from 1 species
GACGAACGCUGGCGGCGUGCUUAACACAUGCAAGUCGAACGGUAAGGCCCUUCGGGGUACACGAGUGGCGAACGGGUGAGUAACACGUGGGUGAUCUGCCCUGCACUUCGGGAUAAGCCUGGGAAACUGGGUCUAAUACCGGAUAGGACCACUGCCUGCAUGGGUGGUGGUGGAAAGCUCUUGCGGUGUGGGAUGGGGCCGCGGCCUAUCAGCUUGUUGGUGGGGUGAUGGCCUACCAAGGCGACGACGGGUAGGCGGGCUGGGAGGGGGACCGGCCACACUGGGACUGAGAUACGGCCCAGACUCCUACGGGAGGCAGCAGUGGGGAAUAUUGCACAAUGGGCGCAAGCCUGAUGCAGCGACGCCGCGUGAGGGAUGACGGCCUUCGGGUUGUAAACCUCUUUCAGCACCGACGAAGCGCAAGUGACGGUAGGUGCAGAAGAAGGACCGGCCAACUACGUGCCAGCCGCCGCCGUAA